AUGUACCCGCACCGCCCAACCGGCGAGUACAGGAUACUGCUGGCUCCUGAUGAUCCAGAUGACUCCUACCAGGUCUACACUUUAGGCUCCAGCGAGCCGCCCAGGCACAUAGACAUAGAGGGCCCCUAUGUGCAGGACUUGUCACCCAGUACACCUCUCAUGUUCCGUGGUAGCCUGCAUUGGUGCAUAGGCAGCAUUAUCCAUGUAUUCAACACCACCACUGAGUCCUUCCUGCAGAUGCUCGCUCCAGAUGUUCCUCACAGUGUUGACCGAUAUGUGAUGGAUAUACUUUAUGGCGCUGUCCUGUUUGACAUGGAUGGAAUGCUCAGCAUGCCCAUUCUUACUGAUGAAUUUACCAGCAUUGGUAUCUGGGCUAUGCAAGACUAUGAAAAUGAGGUCUGGACCUCAAAAUACCGGGUCGAAUUGCCACUUGCGGACCUCACCGUGCAGUUUGGAAAGUUUAACCCAUGUAUUCAUGGAGUGCCCGCUUUUUUGGAUGGUGACGUGAUCAUCCUGGUCCAGUUUGGUGAUUGGCUACUUCAGUUUGACAUGGAUGGCAAGUUGGUUGCCAAUUUGCGCAACUGCAGAGGCCUCUUUCCUACUCGACAUCAACUCAAGCAAACUCUUGUUCAGCAUACCUUCUUUCGGACACUAGAGGGUUAUGCUGUCAAUGCUUCACCUUUCAUCUGA
rnacentral:rRNA from 1 species